AUUAGAAAUAACCUGCAGAAAGUUGGGAAGUUUUUGCUGCCUCAAGGUCGGGAAGUGUAUCAUGAUCAUUAUGCAGCACUUCUAGAGUAUGAAGAGCAACAGUCAGGGCUGCGUGCUGUACCAAAGCUGACGAGGGCACAUAUAUACCCAAACGCUUUUCAGAAAAUGAGCGUCAAACUUGCUGUUCAACUCUUCAGUGAAUCCACAGCUACAGCC